AUAAGCAUUAUAAACAGUUUGAGCAUUCACUGUAAUUGAUGCUUUCGCAUCAGAUAGUGUAGCCAUUUCUUCUGGUGAAAGAUCUAAAGAUUGAUAAAUGCUAUUAUACCAAAAAUUAGGACCUCCUGCUUUCAUAGUAGGGUUUAACAUAGCAGGCACACCAAAAAUAUGAGGGAUUGGAAAAAAAUAUUUUUUAAAUUUCUUUUUCAUUUCAAAAAUUGCAUGUUCAUAAAUUUCCCCUCCAUCGUUAAAAUCAGCAAAUAAAUUAGCAAGUGCGGCA
rnacentral:lncRNA from 1 species